CAGCCGCCGCGGGAAUACGUAGGUGGCAAGCGUUGUCCGGAAUUAUUGGGCGUAAAGCGUGCGUAGGUGGUGGUUUAAGUCCGUUGUGAAAGCCCUGGGCUCAACCUGGGAAUUGCAGUGGAUACUGGAUCACUAGAGUGUGGUAGAGGAUAGUGGAAUUUCCGGUGUAGCAGUGAAAUGCGUAGAUAUUGGGAAGAACACCGGUGGCGAAGGCGGCAACCUGGUCCUUGACUGACGCUGGGGCGCGAAAGCGUGGGGAGCAAACAGGAUUAGAUACCCGUGUAGUCCCUGUCUCUUAUCA
rnacentral:rRNA from 1 species